GCAAGGGCCUGUACGUCACCUUCACUCUGGCACUGUGGCCAGACUGUGUGAAACCUGCCUGCUUUCUUACCUCACAGAGGGGCCUGCCCACGGAGUGUGUCACUGCUAGGAUUUGUCACCACUGGGACCCGUCCUGGAGUCAGGGACGCCCAAAGUCUUAGAAUACACCACUCAUUCGGUAAGCUUUCCAGGGAUGGGUAAGAAACCACAUUAACUCUCUCAUCCAUCAACAUUCAUCUGAUGCCACCACGGGCCGGGCGUGAAGCUGGCCCUGAAAGCGUGCGGUGUUCGGCCCACACACCCCCUGCCUGUGGGGAGGCCUGUCGGCCAACCCAGGGGCUGCGGUGCGUCCUGGUGAGGGGCUGUGUCCGGAGGCCUUGGGAGGCUGUGGAGAAGGGCAGGUGGAAAGAAUGUUCCAGGAGGGUCAACAAAGGCCGCCGAGGCGCCAGUGUGGAAGGAGCCGGAGGUGAGCAGAGACACAAAUGAGGAAGAUGGAAGGGCGGCCUGGAGGCGCACACGGGCCUCGCCCGGGGCUCAUGCCCAAUCACCAGUGGCCCGUGUGACUCAGGCAGCAGCAGAAACACGGGGAUGUCGGCAGGCAGGUGGAGGGGUGUUCAGACGAUGCACGGGGAGGGUGGAGUAACACACAGGCAGAAGGACGGACCGUUGGCUCUGGACAGGUUCCGGACGGACCCGCACCCAGCUUCCGGUGGUGGUUGGGCUCGUCCUUAUUCUCAAGAUCGAGAAGCAGUGUGGAUCCCCAACGAGAUUUUGGGUCAAAACUGCAGCAGGAAACGUGGCCGUGGACAGGUGGCCACACCGAGACUCCUGCCUCACUCUGAGCCGCCAAACUCAUGGACAGCUACCACCAACCGGUGCCGGUGGGCAGUGGGGAGGUCAAGGUCUCCACCGUGGGUGCAAAGCGAGGAGGCAGGCAUCGUGCUGGGAAGGAAGGGUGAGAUUAUGAAGGGAACAGCGGAGACUGAACGACCGGGACUGAACGACCGGCAAUGGAGCACCAGCCCCUCGUGUGAGCCUGCCCCAGGGGGCCCCUGCGAUCCACAGAGGACAGCCAGCAGAGGGCCCAGGGCUACACGGUCAUGAUCUUACUCUGCGUGGACUCACCAAGAAAUGACUUGAGAAGAGAUUUCUCUGGACUUUGAAUGAACCCCUCAUGCAACUUGCUGCCUGUUUUUCUUUAUAUUGUCCUUUACCACGGACUCCCACCCCCACUCCGUU